rnacentral:rRNA from 1 species
UACAGAGGUCCCAAGCGUUGUUCGGAUUCACUGGGCGUAAAGGGUGCGUAGGCGGUCGGGUAAGUCUGACGUGAAAUCUUCAAGCUUAACUUGGAAACUGCGUCGGAUACUAUUCGGCUAGAGGAAUGGAGGGGAGACUGGAAUACUUGGUGUAGCAGUGAAAUGCGUAGAUAUCAAGUGGAACACCAGUGGCGAAGGCGAGUCUCUGGGCCGAUACUGACGCUGAGGAGCGAAAGCGUGGGGAGCGAACAGG